AUUGAACGCUGGCGGCAGGCCUAACACAUGCAAGUCGAGCGGUAGCACAGAGAGCUUGCUCUCGGGUGACGAGCGGCGGACGGGUGAGUAAUGUCUGGGAAACUGCCUGAUGGAGGGGGAUAACUACUGGAAACGGUAGCUAAUACCGCAUAACGUCGCAAGACCAAAGAGGGGGACCUUCGGGCCUCUUGCCAUCAGAUGUGCCCAGAUGGGAUUAGCUAGUAGGUGGGGUAACGGCUCACCUAGGCGACGAUCCCUAGCUGGUCUGAGAGGAUGACCAGCCACACUGGAACUGAGACACGGUCCAGACUCCUACGGGAGGCAGCGGUGGGGAAUAUUGCACAAUGGGCGCAAGCCUGAUGCAGCCAUGCCGCGUGUAUGAAGAAGGCCUUCGGGUUGUAAAGUACUUUCAGCGGGGAGGAAGGUGUUGUGGUUAAUAACCGCAGCAAUUGACGUUACCCGCAGAAGAAGCACCGGCUAACUCCGUGCCAGCCGCCGCUGUAACAC
rnacentral:rRNA from 1 species